GGGUUAGCCGCUUCGUGCAGUGAUGCAGCAGCCUACACCAAAGAAACCUUGAUCGCACCACAGGACACGACCGGCUGUGGGAUCCCUGGGCGGAAAACAGUGAUGUUGCAUGACAUGCCUCGAAAUAAAUUCUGAAUGAUUGAAGACUGCGGGUGGAGCGGUGACAACAUGGCAGAUAGAAGGCAACUGUUUGUCGAGAUGAGGGCUCAUGAUUUGGACUCCAUACGAUUAUCGACAUACAGAACAGCCUGCAAACUCAGAUUUGUGCAGAAGAAAUGUAAUUUGCAUUUGGUUGACAUCUGGAAUGUCAUUGAGGCUUUCCGAGAAUGUGGCCUCAACACCAUGGACCUCAAUGCUGAGCUCACAGUGGCUCGUCUAGAAGUGGUACUGUCCACUAUUUUUUACCAGCUGAACAAGCGCAUGCCCACCACCCACCAGAUCCACGUGGAACAGUCCAUCAGCCUGCUGCUCAACUUCCUGCUGGCAGCCUACGACCCGGAGGGCCAUGGCAAGAUAUCUGUCUUUGUUGUGAAGACAGCCCUGGCGACCAUCUGUGGAGGGAAGAUUCUGGAUAAAUUAAGAUAUAUUUUUUCACUGAUAUCAGAUUCCUCUGGGAUAAUGGUGUACUCACAGUUUGACCAGUUUCUGAGGGAGGUUCUCAAAUUACCUAUGGCGGUUUUCGAGGGACCAUCUUUUGGUUACACUGAACAAGCUGCAAGAACCUGCUUUGCACAGCAGAAAAAGGUCUCCCUCAACACAUUCCUCGAUACGGUGAUGUCAGACCCGCCCCCUCAGUGUCUGGUGUGGUUACCGCUCAUGCAUCGCCUCGCUAACGUGGAGAACGUCUUUCACCCGGUCGAGUGCUCCUACUGCCAUACUGAGAGUAUGAUGGGCUUCCGCUACCGCUGCCAGCAAUGUCAUAAUUACCAGCUCUGUCAGGACUGCUUCUGGAGGGGGCAUGCCAGUGAUUCCCAUAGCAACCAGCACCAAAUGAAGGAGUAUACGUCAUGGAAAUCCCCUGCUAAGAAAUUAUCCCAUGCACUCAGUAAGUCCCUGAGCUGUGCAACCAGCAGAGAGCCUCUUCACCCCAUGCUUUCCGAGAUACCAGAGAAACCUCUGAACCUAGCUCAUAUUGUGCCACCAAGACCGGUGAAUAUCACCAAUGAAUACGCACUCUCCCACUCCAUGCCUACGUCAGGGAACCCUUUCUCCACCAAAAAGUUGAACUACAACCUCGAUGUUGCUGAUAGACUUGCUGACGAACAUGUUCUGAUUGGCCUCUAUGUGAAUCUGCUCCAAAACAACCCCAAAACAUGUUUGCUGGAGAGCAGUAACCAUCAAGAUGAAGAGCACAGUCUCAUCGCCCGCUAUGCUGCUAGACUGGCUGCUGAUGCUGCGGCUCAGCAGCAGAGGGUCCCCACAGACCUCCCAUGCUCUCUGGAUGCCAACAAACAGCAGAGGCAGCUCAUUGCUGAGCUUGAGAGCAAAAACAGAGAAAUCCUGCAGGAAAUCCAGCGACUGCGCCUUCAACAUGAGGAGGCCUCCCAGCCGCCACCUGACAAGGGUCAGCAGAACCCCACUCUGCUGGCUGAGUUACGACUUCUCAGGCAACGCAAAGAUGAGCUUGAACAAAGAAUGUCUACUCUGCAGGAGAGUCGCAGGGAACUGAUGGUGCAGCUGGAGCAAUUAAUGAUGCUUCUCAAGACUCAGGGUCCCGGCUCUCCGCGCUCUUCCCCCAGUCACACCAUCAACCGGUCAAUCCCCACACCGAUCCACUCGGAUUCUGCCGGCACUACUCCGACUCACACACCUCAGGACUCACUCAUGGGCGUGGGAGGGGAUGUUCAGGAGGCCUUCGCUCUGGGGCCGAGGAGAAAUUUGAGAAAUGACCUGCUCAUUGCUGCUGACUCCAUCACCAACACAAUGUCAUCACUGGUUAAAGAACUAAAUUCAGAGGGUGGAAGUGAGACUGAGAGCACUGUGGAUUCAGACUUUGGGCGUGGUGAACUGUUGGCCACAACCUCUUCAGACCCCUUCUUCCCUUAUAAACCAAGGACUACUAGCGCUGCCGAGGAAGAGAGCUAUGAGAAUGAUCUGGAGCAGCAGCUGGAGGACGAGCUCAAGUUGGAGGAGCUAAUGAAGCACAGGCAGGAACCAGACAAAGCAUGCAUGGUGAGUUUUAGCAUUUCUAACACUGGCGUGACGUCAGAGUAGAAGGCUGCAUAUUGUGCAUAUUGCAUAUCUGCAUAGUGUGAUUUGAAUCUUGAAACUGUUCCCAGUCAAUUCUGCUCUAACAAUCUGCUGUGUGUGUGUUUUGGUGAUUCUGUCAUACAGGUGACACUGCAGCAGUGACUGUGGUAGUCCAGGUAACUGGUGAGCAAUAUGAAGAGCAACAAUAGUAGAAGACACUGGACAAGACAACACUGGGCUGACAGUAUGGAGCACUGAAGAUAUGAAGAAUUUAAGUUGAAAGAAAAAUAAUUGCUAAAUCCAACCAUAGAAUACAUUUAGGUAAAUAUAUAUUUUUUAACCAACCACAUAUUUAAGGUAAUACUGUGAGCUGAUGUAAAGAGAUUAAUUACUGAGCUGUCUAUUAUACCACAGGUGCCAUAAAAACCACAUGAUUUUGAGGAAUUCUUUUUUAAUUUGUAUCCUUUUUAUAUGAGUUUUCAAGCAGAUGUACAACU